UACGUAGGGUGCAAGCGUUGUCCGGAAUUAUUGGGCGUAAAGAGCUCGUAGGCGACUUGUCACGUCGACUGUGAAAACCCGGGGCUCAACUCCGGGCCUGCAGUCGAUACGGGCUGGCUUGAGUGCGGUAGGGGAGACUGGAAUUCCUGGUGUAGCGGUGAAAUGCGCAGAUAUCAGGAGGAACACCGGUGGCGAAGGCGGGUCUCUGGGCCGAUACUGACGCUGAGGAGCGAAAGCAUGGGUAGCGAACAGG
rnacentral:rRNA from 1 species